GACGAACGCUGGCGGCGUGCUUAACACAUGCAAGUCGAACGGAAAGGCCUCUUUCGGGGGGUACUCGAGUGGCGAACGGGUGAGUAACACGUGAGUAACCUGCCCUUUACUUUGGGAUAACUUCAGGAAACUGUGGCUAAUACCGGAUAUGAGCUCCUGCUGCAUGGUGGGGGUUGGAAAGUUUCGGCGGGUGGGGGUGGACUCGCGGCUUAUCAGCUUGUUGGUGGGGUAGUGGCUUACCAAGGCUUUGACGGGUAGCCGGCCUGAGAGGGUGAACGGCCACAUUGGGAAUGAGAUAAGGCCCAGACUCCUAAGGGAGGCAGCAGUGGGGAAUAUUGCGCAAUGGGUGGAAGCCUGAUGCCGCAAAGCCGUGUGCGGGAAGACGGCCUUCGGGUUGUAAACCGCUUUCGCUCAUGACGAAGCUUUGUGUGACGGUAGUGGGUAAAGAAGCACCGGCUAACUACGUG
rnacentral:rRNA from 1 species